UUUAUUCCUAAGCCACAAAAAAAAAAAAAAAAUCUUUCUACUCUCCCAAAGGUUUUUCCUCCUCACCUUCUUCAAAUAGUUAGAUACCACCUAUCCUUCUAUUGGAAUCCUUGAGAAUAACAAGGUUAUUCUCGUGGUCGUGUUCAAGAUUGUUCGAGGAGACGUUCGCGUUUAAAAUCGUUGGAGGAGUCGUUCGUUGGAAUAUCGAAAGGAUCGUUCUAGGAGCUUGGGAAUCUACAAAGAAUACCAAGGUUCCCACGUGGUGGUGUCUGGUUGAUUAGAAAUUUGCUGUUGUGUUUUUGGACGUUCUUAUCGAAGAGCUCGUUGUGUUCGAGAGUUUGGAGAGGAAUCGUGAAGUGAUUAGUCUUCAAGGGUAUGUGAUUUUCGGAUCUCUAUAUCCUUUUUAAUUUCUAUAAAAAAGCAUGCUUAUUUAGUUAUGUAAACAUUGUUUCCAUCCUCUACGUUUUUUUGUAUGAUCUGUAAAAUUAGAAUUAGGAUACAAUCAUUUAUGCAAUGGGUAUACUCGCGUAUCCUUUCACAUAUAAUCCAUUUGUUACUUGUCAAAUUGCCUAUAAAUAGUGACAUUUGAUAGGUUUUGUAGGAGAUGCACUUGGGUGAAAAUUAGUGAGAAAGUCUAGAGACAUUUCUUUUCAUAAUAUAUUUCAAUUUUAUUUUAUUUGGUUGUUUAUUUUAUUUGUUUAUAUAUUAAAUAUAUUAUAAAAUAUUUCCUCAAUAUUUAUGUUACCAUGGUGCAUCAUUUUGUUCCUCAAUUUUACAACAAAAGGAAAAUAAAAAUUCUACCUAAUUUGAGCCAAUUGAUGCAAAUUCAACUAAAUGCAAUUUAUAUACAUAAACACUCCCUCAAUUUCAACAUGGUAGAGUAGACAGAUUGAAGAUAUGUUUUAUUGAAGUGACCAAAAGACAAUGUUUUAUUGAAGAUAUAAACCGGGUUAACAAUAUAGAUAGAUUGUAAAAAAAAGAGUGUUGCUUUGGUAAUGAUGACAAAUAAAGUGAUAGUCAUUUUUAGUGCGUUCAUGGAAGACAUCAUCGUGAGUAACUUAGAUAACACUACGAUUAUCACAAUGAAGUAUAGUGGCAGAUUGUUGAAGAGCUCCCACAUUUGUAAGUAACCAGUGAAGCCAUAUUAACUUCAAGAUAGCAUCAUCAAGCACCCGAAUUGUCCAAAUAAAAGCAAUAACAUUAAGUAGUGAAGAAUUCAUGCUCUAUAUUAGUUGAAUUAGGCUCAUUUUGACAUUCUAUUUCUAUAUAGUUUUUACUUGUAAGUUAAUAUUUGAUCAUUAAUCUUAGUGGGAUGAAAUAGUUGCAAUUGUUGUUAUUAAAUAAUUAUUAUAUAGAUGAAAUGAGAGGUUUCUUUUAUAAAACAAAAUAUAACAAUAAUUAUUUUUUUAAGUUCAACUAGUUUGUUGCAAUUGCUAUUGGGCAUCUCGCCAAGGACAUCAUUCCUCCAAUCUUUGGCGAGUCUUAUGUUCCUUGGAGUUUAUAAGCAUGGAGUCAAACGAAGAAUCGAAACUAGAUUAGGAGAAGACAGGCCGGAGGUCAAGACCACCAGCCACCCGUCGGAAAACUCAAUGGGGACAAAAUCUGAGCACCUACGAACAUCAUCAACAACUUAGGAAGUGAUCUUUCUAAACCUUAAAACAUUGUAAAAGAAACUAUUGAAGAAGUCUAGAUAUUCCAGCUCUCUCUAAAUGUCACAAGAAUUGCUACCAUUUGGCUCACUUGCUUGCUAAGGAACCUUUUCUCACGAUUUCCCCAUUUUAGAGAAUGAAGCAGUUGUUUUGUUUCUUUGUUUUUGUUUUUUGUUUUUGUUUUUAUUUUUUAUUUUUAUUUUUUGCAUUGUAAUUAUCCUUUGAGACUC